rnacentral:rRNA from 1 species
UACAGAGGUCUCAAGCGUUGUUCGGAUUCAUUGGGCGUAAAGGGUGCGUAGGCGGCGCGGUAAGUCGGGUGUGAAAUCUUGGAGCUUAACUCCGAAACUGCAUUCGAUACUGCCGUGCUUGAGGACUGGAGAGGAGACUGGAAUUUACGGUGUAGCGGUGAAAUGCAUAGAUAUCGUAAGGAAGACCAGUGGCGAAGGCGGGUCUCUGGACAGUUCCUGACGCUGAGGCACGGAAGGCCAGGGGAGCAAACGGG